UCCCGGAAUGUAACCGUGGGCCCGGAAGCGACCCUCUCCGGCGGCACGGAAAGGCCCCCCGGCCGGUGCGCUAGCCACCACCCCCAGCUGCCCCACGUGCCGGAGCCCUAGUGAAAGCUCGGGCGCCGUGGUCCCUGCCCCGGGCUUUGCCGCGCGCUACGCGGAGCGGGCAGCUGGAGCCGCUGCGGAGAGCGGCGAGGGGUGCUGGGCAAGCAGGGAGGGGUCUCUGGGAAACCCUGUGGAAAGACAGCUCCACAGGCUGCUAACCGGAUGGAGGGACCAUUGCACACCAGCUCUCUGUUCUGUUAUGUUGACCAGGCCAGACGAGUCUGGAGUAUUUCUACCCUGUAUACACACAUUUCCAAAAAGGUCCUUCUUCCUCCCCGUGAGCAGAAGGUACAAAAGGAGGAGACCAAAGAGAAGAGGAGGGUGCAGAGCAAGUAU